UACGUAGGGGGCAAGCGUUGUCCGGAUUUAUUGGGCGUAAAGAGCGUGUAGGCGGCUAGAUAGGUCCGUUGUGAAAACUCGAGGCUCAACCUCGAGACGCCGGUGGAAACCAUCUAGCUAGAGUCCGGAAGAGGAGAGUGGAAUUCCUGGUGUAGCGGUGAAAUGACGCAGAUAUCAGGAAGAACACCCGUGGCGAAGGCGGCUCUCUGGUACGUGACUGACGCUGAGACGCGAAAGCGUGGGGAGCGAACAGG
rnacentral:rRNA from 1 species